CGUCUAGGCGGAUCGGUUAGUCGGCUGUGAAAUCCCUCGGCUCACCCGAGGAAGUGCAUCCGAUACUGCCGGUCUUGAGUACGAGAGGGGAGAGUGGAACUCCUGGUGGAGCGGUGAAAUGCGUAGAUAUCAGGAGGAACGCCGGUGGCGAAAGCGACUCUCUGGCUCGUUACUGACGCUGAAGCGCGAAAGCUAGGGGAGCGAACG
rnacentral:rRNA from 1 species